UACGGAGGGAGCUAGCGUUGUUCGGAAUCACUGGGCGUAAAGCGUACGUAGGCGGUUAUUCAAGUCAGAGGUGAAAGCCUGGAGCUCAACUCCAGAACUGCCUUUGAAACUAGAUAGCUAGAAUCACGGAGAGGUAAGUGGAAUUCCGAGUGUAGAGGUGAAAUUCGUAGAUAUUCGGAAGAACACCAGUGGCGAAGGCGGCUUACUGGACGUGUAUUGACGCUGAGGUACGAAAGCGUGGGGAGCAAACAGGAUUAGAUACCCCAGUAGUCC
rnacentral:rRNA from 1 species